rnacentral:rRNA from 1 species
UACGUAGGGACCAAGCGUUGUUCGGAUUUACUGGGCGUAAAGGGCGCGUAGGCGGCGUGGUAAGUCACUUGUGAAAUCUCUGAGCUUAACUCAGAACGGCCAAGUGAUACUGCUGUGCUCGAGUGUGGAAGGGGCAAUCGGAAUUCUUGGUGUAGCGGUGAAAUGCGUAGAUAUCAAGAGGAACACCUGAGGUGAAGACGGGUUGCUGGGCCGACACUGACGCUGAGGCGCGAAAGCCAGGGGAGCGAACGGG